rnacentral:rRNA from 1 species
AGAGUUUGAUCAUGGCUCAGGAUGAACGCUGGCGGCGUGCCUAAUACAUGCAAGUCGAGCGAACAGACAAGGAGCUUGCUCCUUUGACGUUAGCGGCGGACGGGUGAGUAACACGUGGGUAACCUACCUAUAAGACUGGGAUAACUUCGGGAAACCGGAGCUAAUACCGGAUAAUAUUUCGAACCGCAUGGUUCGAUAGUGAAAGAUGGUUUUGCUAUCACUUAUAGAUGGACCCGCGCCGUAUUAGCUAGUUGGUAAGGUAACGGCUUACCAAGGCGACGAUACGUAGCCGACCUGAGAGGGUGAUCGGCCACACUGGAACUGAGACACGGUCCAGACUCCUACGGGAGGCAGCAGUAGGGAAUCUUCCGCAAUGGGCGAAAGCCUGACGGAGCAACGCCGCGUGAGUGAUGAAGGUCUUCGGAUCGUAAAACUCUGUUAUUAGGGAAGAACAUACGUGUAAGUAACUAUGCACGUCUUGACGGUACCUAAUCAGAAAGCCACGGCUAACUACGUGCCAGCAGCCGCGGUAAUACGUAGGUGGCAAGCGUUAUCCGGAAUUAUUGGGCGUAAAGCGCGCGUAGGCGGUUUUUUAAGUCUGAUGUGAAAGCCCACGGCUCAACCGUGGAGGGUCAUUGGAAACUGGAAAACUUGAGUGCAGAAGAGGAAAGUGGAAUUCCAUGUGUAGCGGUGAAAUGCGCAGAGAUAUGGAGGAACACCAGUGGCGAAGGCGACUUUCUGGUCUGUAACUGACGCUGAUGUGCGAAAGCGUGGGGAUCAAACAGGAUUAGAUACCCUGGUAGUCCACGCCGUAAACGAUGAGUGCUAAGUGUUAGGGGGUUUCCGCCCCUUAGUGCUGCAGCUAACGCAUUAAGCACUCCGCCUGGGGAGUACGACCGCAAGGUUGAAACUCAAAGGAAUUGACGGGGACCCGCACAAGCGGUGGAGCAUGUGGUUUAAUUCGAAGCAACGCGAAGAACCUUACCAAAUCUUGACAUCCUUUGACAACUCUAGAGAUAGAGCUUUCCCCUUCGGGGGACAAAGUGACAGGUGGUGCAUGGUUGUCGUCAGCUCGUGUCGUGAGAUGUUGGGUUAAGUCCCGCAACGAGCGCAACCCUUAAGCUUAGUUGCCAUCAUUAAGUUGGGCACUCUAAGUUGACUGCCGGUGACAAACCGGAGGAAGGUGGGGAUGACGUCAAAUCAUCAUGCCCCUUAUGAUUUGGGCUACACACGUGCUACAAUGGACAAUACAAAGGGCAGCGAAACCGCGAGGUCAAGCAAAUCCCAUAAAGUUGUUCUCAGUUCGGAUUGUAGUCUGCAACUCGACUACAUGAAGCUGGAAUCGCUAGUAAUCGUAGAUCAGCAUGCUACGGUGAAUACGUUCCCGGGUCUUGUACACACCGCCCGUCACACCACGAGAGUUUGUAACACCCGAAGCCGGUGGAGUAACCAUUUGGAGCUAGCCGUCGAAGGUGGGACAAAUGAUUGGGGUGAAGUCGUAACAAGGUAACCCUA